UACGGGAGGCAGCAGUGGGGAAUAUUGCACAAUGGGCGCAAGCCUGAUGCAGCCAUGCCGCGUGUAUGAAGAAGGCCUUCGGGUUGUAAAGUACUUUCAGUCGUGAGGAAGGUGUUAAGGUUAAUAACCUUAGCAAUUGACGUUAGCGACAGAAGAAGCACCGGCUAACUCCGUGCCAGCAGCCGCGGUAAUACGGAGGGUGCGAGCGUUAAUCGGAAUUACUGGGCGUAAAGGGCACGCAGGCGGUUAAUUAAGUUGGAUGUGAAAUCCCCGGGCUUAACCUGGGAAUGGCAUUCAAGACUGGUUAGCUAGAGUCUUGUAGAGGGGGUAGAAUUCCAUGUGUAGCGGUGAAAUGCGUAGAGAUGUGGAGGAAUACCGGUGGCGAAGGCGGCCCCUGGGACAAAGGCUGACGCUCAUGUGCGAAAGCGUGGGGAGC
rnacentral:rRNA from 1 species